rnacentral:lncRNA from 1 species
GGUUAGGGUUAGGAGCUAGAGUUAGGGUUAGGAGCUAGGGUUAGGGUUAGGAGCUAGGGUUAGGUUUAGGGGUUAGGAGCUAGAGUUAGGUUUAGGGGUUAGGAGCUAGGGUUAGGUUUAGGGGUUAGGAGCUAGGGUUAGGUUUAGGGGUUAGGAGCUAGGGUUAGGUUUAGGGGUUAGGAGCUAGGGUUAGGUUUAGGGGUUAGGAGCUAGAGUUAGGUUUAGGGGUUAGGAGCUAGAGUUAGGUUUAGGGUUAGGAGCUAGAGUUAGGUUUAGGGGUUAGGAGCUAGGAGCUAGAGUUAGGUUUAGGGGUUAGGAGCUAGAGUUAGGGUUAGGGUUUGGGAAAAUAGGAUUUUAAAAUUUUAAAAUGGACUGAAUUAUGUGUCCCCACAAGGUUAGCUGUAGAAUACUCUGUGUGUGUGUGUGUGUGUG